UACGGAGGGUGCGAGCGUUAAUCGGAAUUACUGGGCGUAAAGCGCACGUAGGCGGUCAGGCAAGUCGGGUGUGAAAGCCCUGGGCUCAACCUGGGAAUUGCAUUCGAAACUAUCUGACUCGAGUAUGGGAGAGGGAAGCGGAAUUUCCGGUGUAGCGGUGAAGUGCGUAGAUAUCGGAAGGAACACCAGUGGCGAAGGCGGCUUCCUGGACUAAUACUGACGCUGAGGUGCGAAAGCGUGGGGAGCAAACAGG
rnacentral:rRNA from 1 species